ensembl:lncRNA
UGAAAAGGCAGCAACAAAAAAAAAGUAAGAGAAUGCUCGAGGAAAAACGAGAAUAAAUAUUGGAUUCGCUUUUCAGCGAUGGCGACAGCUGAGGGAGUUGAAUGGCCUGAAAAGUGACGCAAUGGUUGCCGUUGAGAGCUGACUCCUGAGAGCAGAAGCAUUGGAAGCUGUCUGAGAGGAACCAUGGUCACCAUCUCUGAACAAGACCAUGGGCUCUCUGAGGAACCUGAGGACACGUCUUUGGACCGGAGGGAGCGCAGGAAGAGAUUUGCACUUGAGGCGGGACCUUUCCUGGAUUUUGCAUACGAUAAACACAUUUGCGAUCGCAUAUCAAAAACAUGGCGAGAGGAGGGUUCAAGAAGUCAUGCCCUGCAUGUCAGGCAAACAUCUUUAAUGGCUGUAAAGUGUGCCCCAUGUGCAAGGCACCACAGCCACAAAAACUGAGGCUUAAAAAAAAACUUGAAAAGUUUAAAAAAGAAAAAGAUACUUGGGUGGCCAACACAAAGAAAAACCAGAUCACCUCGCACCUGAUGGAUGAUGCGGUCAUUCUGAUGGAGAAGCUGAAUGCGGUGGGCUGGAAGCCCAUCCUCCUUCUGGAAUAUCCGAAGAAGGAGGCAAGGAUGCUCCUCCCAGAAGGCCUCGUUCCAAGUGUGGGGGGAAAGGAAAUGUCUCGAUGACAUUGAAGAAAUGUACACCUUCAUGAUUGAAGCUCUUUCAGAAACUCUCCUUUCAGCCAGCCCCACCACCACCACCACCACCACCACCACCACCAUUGAGGGCCCAGAGACUGGGGUUAAACCUGAGACGGUGGAGACUGUCCUGUCAGCCAGCCCUACCACCAACAACUGGGGGACAGAGCCUGGCAACAAACGGAAGAGACGCCCAAGUACAAAAGUGGACACUCUCCCGACAACAAGCCCUACCACCACCAACAGGGGGACAGAGACUGGCAACAAACGAAAAAGACACCCAAGCACAAAAGUGAAGAAGGUUCUGUCCACAAGCCCCAACACCACCACCAACGGGGGGCGAGAGACUGAGACAGUGGAGACUGUCCUGUCAGCCAGCCCUGCCAUCACCACCAACGACUGGCAAAAUACAAAACAGACGCCCAAGGACACACAACCAAUACCACCCCUCCCCCCACCUAUACUCCACAGUUGUACUUAAAAAGGACUUGACAAUGUUUUCUUAAAAAUGUGUUUUUUAUACAGUGUUUUAUUCUGUAUUUAUACUAUUCCUUGUGUGACUGUUUGUGUGAGCAUUGUUUUAGAGGCUGCAUAAACAGAUUUCAUUGUACGGUUUUAUUGCACAAUGACAAUAAAGAAUAAACAUGCCACUAUUUGCUUAUGUCAAACAGUUUCUAAAGAGGAAAAGGAUUGCCCCCACAACAGCCAGAAGGUGCACCAGUACACACACAUAAUCACACAAAGAAAGAUACGGUUAUUUUCAUGCACAAUAAAAUUGCAAAGAAAACAAUAGAUGAUUUACCAAUACUGCUUGAUCACUUUUUUUUAUUUUUUAUAAUGGCACUGCAGAAUAAUGUCUCAGUGAUCCUAUC